GCGGGCUUAGUUCAGUGGUAGAAUGCGACUUUUCCAAAGUCGAGGUCAGGGGUUCGAAACCCCUAGCCCGCU
rnacentral:tRNA from 3 species